CAAAUUUUGCUGGCACACACAGAGGUGAGUGACUGCUCCCUCCCCAGUGCACCACUAGUGUUUUUGUGUGUUUGUUGUCUUAUUCUUUUCUACCUGUCUUUAUUUUCCCUUUUUUUCUUUUUCUUUUUCUCUGUCACACACCAUAACUGCUAACUGGAACCUCUAGUAACAACAAGGUUAGAGACUGGCCAUGGAUUGAGGAUUGCUAGUGAAACAACACAAUACCUCCUGCCCUACCACCUGCACUUGGACCUCCGACGCAGCUUUGACCUGUGGGAACAGGAACAAAGAGUGGGAAGUGGUUGGAUCCCAGACAGGUUCCUAGGUUCUUGUGCACAAUGAACAAAGAAUUGGAUGUGGCACAUGAUGGUAAGGAAAAAGCAGCAAAGUUUAUUAAGGCAAUAGUAUCUCAGAGUGAAUGGGAUUGUG
rnacentral:lncRNA from 1 species